rnacentral:rRNA from 1 species
AUUGAACGCUGGCGGCAUGCCUUACACAUGCAAGUCGAACGGCAGCGGGGGAGAAGCUUGCUUUUCCUGCCGGCGAGUGGCGAACGGGUGAGUAAUACAUCGGAACGUGCCCUGUAGUGGGGGAUAACUAGUCGAAAGAUUAGCUAAUACCGCAUACGACCUGAGGGUGAAAGUGGGGGACCGCAAGGCCUCAUGCUAUAGGAGCAGCCGAUGUCUGGUUAGCUAGUUGGUGGGGUAAAGGCCUACCAAGGCGACGAUCAGUAGCUGGUCUGAGAGGACGAUCAGCCACACUGGGACUGAGACACGGCCCAGACUCCUACUGGAGGCAGCAGUGGGGAAUUUUGGGCAAUGGGCGAAAGCCUGAUCCAGCAAUGCCGCGUGUGUGAAGAAGGCCUUCGGGUUGUAAAGCACUUUUGUCCGGAAAGAAAUGGCUCUGGUUAAUACCUGGGGUCGAUGACGGUACCGGAAGAAUAAGGACCGGCUAACUACGUGCCAGCAGCCGCCGUAA